AGCUGGAACUGGAGACAACAGGAGUUUUCUGAAUGCAUCAGACUCUUGACUAACAAAAAACAAAAAAAAUUGCAUUUUCUGAAUUGUUUUUGAAACUGAAGUGAACCAAGGAUGGACGCAAAGGUUGGAAUGGAUUAACUCAUUUGGCAAAUUUCAAACGAUUUGGAGGAAGGGAGGCAGGAAAGAAAAAAUCUGGAAAAAUCCAUUUAAAGACAAAAUGGGAAGAAAAGAAUUGCUGAACAGAUUCACACAAAGAGAAAGAGCAAUAAUAACAGAACAUUCUUCUAUAUUAGAAUAAGGUAAUAGCCUUCCUAAUGGGGGUUCUAUGUAAAGCAAUCCCACAGAACCUAACAGUAUAAAAACUGGGAAUUUUAUUCCUUUGUUGAGGUUGAAUAUAUACAGUCUAAACCAACACUCCAAUGCAAUGUUGGGGGAUGUGCUUAAAUGUUGGAGGUUCUGUGCUUUGGAUAAAACAUUAAAUCAACAUUCUGUUUGCCUAUUCAAGCAGAUGUUAAA